GGCCUGCGCGGAAGAUGUAACGGGGCUAAACCAUGCACCGAAGCUGCGGCAGCGAACGUAUCACCCAAGACAACUUUACGGAGUUGACGAUUGACGGAGCGAAGCGACGUCAAAGCGUUCAUUAAAGUCGAGUUGGCUUAGGGAUACGUUCGUUGGGUAGGGGAGCGUUCUGUAAGCCUGUGAAGGUGUGUCGUGAGGCAUGCUGGAGGUAUCAGAAGUGCGAAUGCUGACAUAAGUAACGAUAAAGCGGGUGAA
rnacentral:rRNA from 1 species